AUACGGAGGAUCCGAGCGUUAUCCGGAUUUAUUGGGUUUAAAGGGAGCGUAGGUGGAUUGUUAAGUCAGUUGUGAAAGUUUGCGGCUCAACCGUAAAAUUGCAGUUGAAACUGGCAGUCUUGAGUACAGUAGAGGUGGGCGGAAUUCGUGGUGUAGCGGUGAAAUGCUUAGAUAUCACGAAGAACUCCGAUUGCGAAGGCAGUUCACUAGACUGUUACUGACACUGAUGCUCGAAAGUGUGGGUAUCAAACAGGAUUAGAUACCCUGGUAGUCCACACAGUAAACGAUGAAUACUCGCUGUUUGCGAUAUACAGUAAGCGGCCAAGCGAAAGCAUUAAGUAUUCCACCUGGGGAGUACGCCGGCAACGGUGAAACUCAAAGGAAUUGACGGGG
rnacentral:rRNA from 1 species